UACGUAGGGUGCGAGCGUUGUCCGGAAUUAUUGGGCGUAAAGAGCUCGUAGGCGGUCUGUCGCGUCGAAUGUGAAAACCCGGGGCUCAACUCCGGACUUGCAUUCGAUACGGGCAGGCUAGAGUUCGGUAGGGGAGUCUGGAAUUCCUGGUGUAGCGGUGAAAUGCGCAGAUAUCAGGAGGAACACCCGUGGCUAAGGCGGCUCUCUAGUACGGUACUGACGCUGAGACGCGAAAGCGUGGGGAGCGAACAGG
rnacentral:rRNA from 1 species